rnacentral:rRNA from 1 species
UACGUAGGGGCAAGCGUUAUCCGGAUUUACUGGGUGUAAAGGGAGCGCAGACGGAACUGCAAGUCUGAUGUGAAAGCCCGGGGCUCAACCGCGGGACUGCAUCGGAUACUGUGGAUCUGGAGUGCCGGAGGGGCAAGCGGAAUUCCUGGUGUAGCGGUGAAAUGCGUAGAUAUCAGGAGGAACACCGGCGGCGAAGGCGGCUUGCUGGACGGCAACUGACGUUGAGGCUCGAAAGCGUGGGGAGCAAACAGGAUUAGGAUACCCCGGUA